rnacentral:rRNA from 1 species
UACGUAGGGUGCAAGCGUUGUCCGGAAUUAUUGGGCGUAAAGAGCUCGUAGGCGGUUUGUCGCGUCUGCUGUGAAAACUGGGGGCUCAACCCCCAGCCUGCAGUGGGUACGGGCAGACUAGAGUGCGGUAGGGGAGAGUGGAAUUCCUGGUGUAGCGGUGGAAUGCGCAGAUAUCAGGAGGAACACCGAUGGCGAAGGCAGAUCUCUGGGCCGUAACUGACGCUGAGGAGCGAAAGCAUGGGGAGCGAACAGG